AUUGAACGCUGGCGGCAUGCCUUACACAUGCAAGUCGAACGGCAGCACGGGCUUCGGUCUGGUGGCGAGUGGCGAACGGGUGAGUAAAGUAUCGGAACGUGCCCUAGAGUGGGGGAUAACUAUCCGAAAGGAUAGCUAAUACCGCAUAUUCUAUGCGUAGGAAAGCGGGGGAUCUUCGGACCUCGCGCUCUAGGAGCGGCCGAUAUCAGAUUAGCUAGUUGGUGGGGUAAAGGCCUACCAAGGCGACGAUCUGUAGCGGGUCUGAGAGGAUGAUCCGCCACACUGGGACUGAGACACGGCCCAGACUCCUACGGGAGGCAGCAGUGGGGAAUUUUGGACAAUGGGCGCAAGCCUGAUCCAGCCAUGCCGCGUGAGUGAAG
rnacentral:rRNA from 1 species